rnacentral:rRNA from 1 species
CCCGGCGACCGGCGCACGGGUGAGUAACACGUAUGCAACCUGGCCGCCAUAGGGGGAUAACUCGCGGAAACGCGGCCUAAUACCCCGUGACGCCACCGGAGGGCAUCCUCCGGUGGCCAAAGGAGCGAUCCGGUGGCGGAUGGGCAUGCGGCGCAUUAGCUAGACGGCGGGGUGACGGCCCACCGUGGCGACGAUGCGUAGGGGUUCUGAGAGGAAGGCCCCCCACACUGGGACUGAGACACGGCCCAGACUCCUACGGGAGGCAGCAG